AAGUUUCUGGUGUAGGGCUUAACAGGAUGGUGAUUUCGGAUAGAGUUCUGUGGGUUUACCCACGGUUUUCCUAUCCUUCAUGAAUUACAGGAAGCAUUUCAUGUAUAAGCAACAGUGCUGAGUCAAUAGAGAGACAUGCCGAGGUCCACUGGAGCCUCAGCACAUUGUAACCUGGAAGGUCUUUAAAAUCUGAGCAAGCUGGAAGGUGGAUUAAAUGAGUAGAGUCCAAAAGAACGUGCCUAGAAUAACAUCCUUCACCCCGCAUUUUGUCUUAGCAAUACAUACAUCUCAUUCCCUGAGCAGCAUUUUAUUAGCCAAAGUAUUGUCACUUUGAAAACUUAUUUCAGCCUGAAAUUCCCAUCUUGGUGCUGCUCAGCACAGCCAUGUCAGGGUGCUCCAAAAGCACGAUGCCAGCAAGCAGUGAUUUACUGGAGGUGGGAGGUCUGUAUUAAUUAAAAUAACUGUAAGUGAUAUCCUCAGCAAUAAUAGCUUUUAAAAAUCAAUACUGUCAAGAUAGCCUGGAAUUAAAAUAGAUUAAUGUUUCUUUAAAGACCGGCAAGCAGGGCAAGAGACAGCUGGGGCCAUCUGCACUCAGUGGCGAGUGGGAACGGAGCCUCCUGACCCUGCCUUCCUGCCACUUUCUUCAUUACAUGGCAGGUCGUGCCUCCAGACAUUAAAUGCACCAGAACCGAGAUUCGUGUGGGAAGGACUCAGUUUGUUUGCGCUGCCAGAUAGAGACAACAGCUGCCCCCUGUGCAGCUAAAUGGGAACCUGGGCAGAGAGCAUCGAGUUCAGAACCAAGGAUCUGCAGCGUGUGCAGGAGCAGAUACGGUCAGGGGAGGAGUACUGAUGUGUUGUUGUGUGGGAGCAGCUGUGCACCUGGAGGAGCUGGGCAGCACAAGGCAGAGGUGUGAGGCCUCCUGAUCUGCACAAGUUUGCUCCAGUUUCAACCAUCACAGCUGUUUACUGGUUUUGAGAAGGGUUUUGUGUUUUUUUUUUAUGUUGGCACAGCUCCCAGUUCACAAGGAAAGGUUAUCUUCCAAUGCAACCCUAUCCCCCAUCAGUGUGGGAUUCGAAGAUUCCAGCUCUGAUAAUUAUUUUUUAUCCCUGUUUUGUGUAUUAAGACCGUAUUGAAGUGACUCUGUGCCUGGCUGAGGCUGCUGUGCCUGGAUAUCCCAGCACAGCUGUGUGCUGAGCUCACACAGCCCUUUGCCAGACGUGGCACAGAGCAGCAUGGGUCCAGGCAUGCACACCCAGCCUCGGUGUCAGGCUCUGGGAAUGUCCCCCAGGCCUCUCACAGCAGCUCCUGAAGAUAAAUUUGGCCCAUUUCAGUCAAUGAGAGCACUCAUAUUCCUAUUGCAUGUUUUCCAUUGUAAGCCGAUAGUUUCUGGCAUGUGUGGUGUCCCUUUGAUUGGAAUUCAUUCAGAAGCUUCCACUCACAGGCACUAUGAAGCCAGGCACAGCUCAGCUGACACAGCCAUUCAUCACAGCCACACGUGAGCCCAGCAUGGAGCUGCAUCCAUUCCUGACACUGUGGCCUCAUCCCAGUCCUGGCACCGACCUCAGGAGCAGCUCAGCACCCGCUGGGUCAGCUCACUGCCCCUCAGCCUCUGCAUAUAAGAUACAGAGACUUUGUUCACCUCUUCUAGUUUGUAGGGCUGGCAUGGAGUACGUCAUGCUCUGCCACUCCUUCUGGCAUCUGUCCUUCAUAUGGCAGUCAUGAAACCUGCCACAGCACUUACGCAACUUCCAUUAAUGCAAUUAAACUAAAUACCAAAAGACUAGCAGGCAGACUCUGAGUCUGCAAAGAUCCUCCUGAGGCACAGAAGUAUCUCAGCUUUCUGAGCUGCUGAGUGUUAUCUCACCAGCGAUGUAUGAGCAUUUAGCUGGGCAUCACCAGCCAGCUGGGCACAGGGAAGGACGUUUGUGCCUGGACAUCCUACUUAACAGCAAUAGGAUUGUGCCAGGAGAGGUUCAGAUUGGUUAUUAGGAAAUGUUUCUUCUUAGAAAGAGUGGUGAUGCAUUGGAACAGGCUGCCCAAGGAAGUGCAGUCACCAAGAAAAGGGUGGGUGUCACACUAACAUGGUCUACAGCAGUCACAGGCAUGGUCUGAUGGUUGCACUCAAUGGUUUUUAGUGCUCUUUCCAACCUUCACGUGUCUAAAGGUGCCCCACCUGUGUCUGCAGUGCUUGGGCGAGGCUCUGCAGGGCUGCUCAUGUUUUCUGUCUGCAAGUGUUCUCCUCUUCCUGUGGCACCUGGUGCUCUGUCAGUUCCUCCAGUUCAGCUUGCUUCUAAACUGAUCUCACUGCUGCAGCUGGUUGGGUUUUCCAACUGUUCGUUGCUUCUUAGUAUUUCCUCUCCCAGUAAAUAACUUCUCUACACAGAAGGCUGUGGAUAUCAGGCUUUCUGAGGUCCCGUGUUUCAAGCUGAGUGCUGCAGUUGAUAUGGCACACAAGGAAAGGAUGCCAUCAGUGGGACCUUGAUGAACUCGAAAGAUGCUCACGGUUUACACCCUAAUUUACUCUGGAAGGAAAAGAGGUUAAGAUGACUUGAAAUCCAUGUGAAGAAAUUCAAGGACAGGCAGAACACUGCAGGCCGUAGCAUCCAGAGAGCACAGCUGGAGGGAAGCUCCCUGCACAGUGCAGACCUGAGCUGGGGCAGUUCCAGCUUGCAGAAGAUUAAUCACAGUGACCCGAACAGAAACGGAAACAAUGUGAUCAGCUCAGCACUUCUAAAAUAAUUUUGGUCUCCAUUAGGUCACCCCCUCUAAAUACCAAUUGUUUCUGUCUGGUGCUGUUGCCUAUCAGCCCUAUUAUUACAAGCUGCUAUUUGCCGUUUGCUCUUUCCUGUUCCUCUCAGGAAUAGCUUCCUCCUGUUGCACUGCUUUUGCCUCAGAGCCGGACAUCUGUCUUCCUCCUCAUUACACAGCCAUGCUCAGA